rnacentral:rRNA from 1 species
GGAUAACCUACCCUCAGGUGGGGGAUAACCCCGGGAAACUGGGGAUAAUACCCCAUAGAUCAGGGACGCUGGAAUGCCUCGUGGUCCAAAGGUCCGCCGCCUUAGGAUGGGUCUGCGGCCGAUUAGGUUGUUGUUGGGGUAACGGCCCAACAAGCCUGUAAUCGGUACGGGUUGUGGGAGCAAGAGCCCGGAGAUGGAUUCUGAGACACGAAUCCAGGCCCUACGGGGCGCAGCAGGCGCGAAAACUUUACAAUGCGGGAAACCGUGAUAAGGGAACUCUGAGUGCCCGUAAAAUCGGGCUGUCCAUCAGUGUAAAAAACUGGUGAAGAAAGGGCCGGGCAAGACCGGUGCCAGCCGCCGCGGUAAUACCGGCGGCUCGAGUGGUGGCCACUAUUAUUGGGCUUAAAGCGUCCGUAGCUGGGUUGUUAAGUCUCUUGGGAAAUCUACCGGCUCAACCGAUAGGCGUUCAGGGGAUACUGGCAACCUAGGGACCGGAAGAGGUGAGAGGUACUCCAGGGGUAGGAGUGAAAUCCUGUAAUCCUUGGGGGACCACCUGUGGCGAAGGCGUCUCACCAGGACGGCUCCGACAGUGAGGGACGAAAGCUGGGGGAGCAAACCGGAUUAGAUACCCGGGUAGUCCCAACUGUAAACGAUGCGCGUUAGGUGUAUCGGUGACCACGAGUCA